AACUAGUACAUACUGUGAAAUAUCAAUUAAAGUUUAUAGUUGCCUGCAUUGGCUAAAUGUCUUUUUCAUGGGAAAUUUUCAUUCUCUUAUGAAAUAAUCAUUUUGGGUUAAAAUAUGUGCUGAAUUAUGGGGGCAUUCCAAGUUAUUAAGAAAUGGAUUUAUUUUACAAGCAAGCUGUAAGCAUUCUUUGCUGUUUUUAUGAGGUCAUCGACAUGACUUUUAAAUGGGGCUCUAGGCCAACUCUGAUUCUCACGUCAGUUCAUUAAUUCACACAGCUGUCUCUGAACACUACAAGAAUAAUAUAUACUGCAGACAGAGGGCCAGAGAGCGGGUGGGGUGAGAUUUCAAGGCUGUAUAUCAGUCGGGGGAUCCUGCUGACAUCAUAAACUAUGAGAAGACAGCUUAAGCUGUUUGGGGAACAGCAGUAGCCCCCCUGAUGGAAAUAUGGCUGGUUUAAUUGAUUCUUUUUAGUUUCAGAAUAUACAGAGUGGGGACACCCAGUUGUUUUGAUUCCGAGCAAAGUCCGAACAUGAAAGGCAGACCCUGCAGGAAUGCAUUAGCAGGGAAACCCCAGCAGAGACCUAAGGUGAUUGUGAACUCAUCUUCUCUAUGAACAGUUUCUCCAAACGAGAUGUGACAAGGGUGCUAUGACUGUAGCGUGAGGGAGGGGUUGGGAGAAGAAAAUCUUCUGAAGAAGCUUCGUCACCCUCUCUCAGCUCCCUGAUUUGUAGCCAACACUGAAUGAGGAGAAGUGAACUGUCCUGUGGUGGGACUUCUGGCAGCCUUUCUCACUUGGUCAGAAAGAGGCAUUGCUAAUAUCUGCAUUAAAAACUCACCCUGGAGCACCUGGAAACUAUUCUUCAAGCAUUGAAGGCGGGCUCUGCUGACCUGCUGUCUGGAAUUGUGGUUCUGUGGUGAACUGGGUGGCGAGGCCGAUAAUCCACCCGUCAAGAUGAGCUGGACUGCAGCCUUCCCUCCCCCACACAGAUCCCCAUUCCCUUAGUUAUUUGGAGUCUUCAUGGCUUCCCCUCACUGUUUCCUGAGCCCUGAGGAGCAGUGUUAAAUAGUGGUUAAAUAUAUGGCCUCUGGUUUCAGACAGGCCUCAGUUUAAAUCUUGGUUCUGCUAUUUAAACAUUAUAUGGCAUUGGGAAUGACUAUCUCUUCAUCUCUAGAAUGGGCAUCCUAAUGGCAUGCCGUCUUAUGAAAUGGUUGUGGGGGUUAAAAUGAGACCAUGUGUGUGAAGUACCUGGGAGUACCUGCACACAGUAGGGACUCAGUUAAUUCAGUUCUCUUCUGUUCUCCACACCUGGACCCAUUUCUUCUGUUUGCUUUUCCCCAGCUUCGACUGGAAGCUGACCUAAGGUGGCUGUCCCAUUGGAACAAAUGUAACAAAGAUUCACAUAUAGACAUCAAUAACUGAUAAAGAUGAGAGAGAACACACACAGAAAUUCCCUUAUUUGAGGGAACAGCAAUGAGCACAUGCCACAGGAAUAGAAUUAGCCAUAAGUAUGCACUCCAAGACAUGGAAAUACGUCUCAAACUACCAUGACCGUCCUGUCACGAAGGCAAGGCUGUCACCACAUUGUUCACAAAUGCUUGGCCCAGUGUAAUCUCAAGUGACAAAAGGGAAUAGGCUGUCAUCACCCGCAUAGACAACGCUCCGUUGUGAUAGAACGAAUAGACUUUUAGGAGACAUCCUGAUACUCAAUAUAUGGUUUCCUUCCAAUAGCAUUGUCUGUUGCUUGCUCGUUUUAAACACAACUUAAUCGAUGCUGUGAAACUAAAUCCCAUUUUCUAGCUCCUGUAAGAAUUCAGUGCUUCUGGGUUUGAGCUUUGUUUUCUUAGUGACAUCAGUUUGUUUUAACAUUCCCAUUAGGGAUUCUUUUGUGAGGGGAGAUGUAAAUUAGGUUUUACUUUGUUUAUUCUGAGUUUGUCGUGAGCAGAAGUUUGAUGAAAUAAUCUUUGAAAAUCCAGAAGACCCUACACACUAUGGUAGCAUAAUCCAGUUUCCCCCUCACUAUUGCAUCUGACGUCCUUCUGAAAAAAAAAAAAUGAAUAUUUUAGGCAGGAGACAAACACGAGGGAAAGAAGAGGUUUGGGGGUGAAACUGGGGACAAAUGAGAACUCCAGUGCUUCGGUGAAAUGUAUCUGCUCGCUCGGUGUACCAGUUCUCAAUCUUCCAGCUUCCCCUGCUUUUCCACCCCAUUUGACUCCCCCACCUGCAAGGUCAGCUGCUCCAAGGAGCAAUUUAUAAACUUGCAGCUCAUAUUGUGGUUGCAGUUCCAGGACUGACAUGAAAUUAAAUCAGUCUUGAGUGCUGUAGGAUGCAAAAGCUACCUUCCGAGUUUACUGAGCCCUCCACGACUCCUAAUAAAUCUUGGAAAGGUAGCAUUCCACCAGUAAAUGCCCAGCGUCUCUCCUCACAAAAGGACCUUGAAAUGGAAACAACGAAGUUUUCUUUGAGGCCAUAUUUCAUACCACGGAGAGGGAGACGUACAUGGAAGCCGCAUUCUUAAGCACCCUUUUCCAGCUCUGCAACAGGCGCUUUGUGAGACAAUGUUAAAUGAGCCCUUAACUUGCUCCUCCACGUUCCCAACUGCUGGGGCCGCGUGGUAUGAAAACAUCCGUGAAAAGUUGACUGUACUCACAAAGUUUCAUUAUUGUUUUUCAAGAGCAGAAGGUGAGUCUUUAAAAGGUCAAUGAGCCUAUAAAUAUGGCUUUGCUACAAAUGUGUCACCCCUCAAUUUCCAG
rnacentral:lncRNA from 1 species